AGAGAUUGAUGAAAUCAAAUACAUCGAUCGCUAGUGUCUUGAAGACGCGAUGAGCGUCGAUUUUCCACACGAGAUUUCUGACUC